GUUAUGACUUCGGUUUAGUUGACAUUAUAUCUCUCUGAUCAAUGGACACGCAAUGAGGUUCAAACCCAAUUUUUUUUCUUGGAAUUUGGAAUGAAUUCUAAAUCUUUGGCUGUAAAGUGAAUGGAAUACAAUGGCUUUUUGGUCCGUGGAAUGCACGCUCAUUAAACGUUUUUUUUGUUUACGACUUGAUACCCACAGCUGCAUUCGAUUUGUUGGUCGAAAAAACUUUUCGUUGUUCAACCGUUCAAGAACUAGUUGUUACGCGAAUCUAUAUUUGUACAGCGUGUUUUAGCUGAUUUUUUUAAAAUAAAUUCUGAAA